CACCUGGCUAAAGGUAACGUGACGUCACUGCGUUAGCCACGCCCCACAUUUUUCAUUUGAGCGGAGUUACCAGAGUGUCACGCUUCUGUGCAGUAAUGAGCCACUUUCUGCUAGUCAUUUUCUCUCUCAUCAUCGCCAGUGCUGCUGAGUUUCGCCGAUGCUCUCCCCUAUGGCUUAACGCCAGUCAAGUUAAAGUCAGCUGUAGCGACGUCCAGAUUGCACAGUACUGUGAUCCUGAUCAGAGCUGUCGACACACGAGCAAGCCCGGGGUCUCGCUGGAGAAGCACAGGGAAAGAGGACUCUGCCUAACCAUCACCAACUGCUCCUACGAGUCGUGGUCCUGCGAAGCACUGAGUUACGUCCAUGCCGAAGAAUUUGGGGAGAAUUUUACUGUCCACGUGACGUGCAACCAACCUACUAGCACGUUGCCCAGUCCAGGACCUACAAGCACUUCAGCAACUUCAGGAUCUGCCAGCACUUUGCCCAGUCCAGGCAAUAAUGAGUCACAGUCAGAGUCUCUUUCAGCUGGGGUCAUUGUGCUGAUCAUCUUUGGGCUGAUCAUCGUGUUGAUCAUCUUUGGGCUGAUCAUCUUUGUGCUUUGCAUCCGUUACAAGAAGAGGACUCCUAGAGAAGAGCAUUUGGUUGAUUUGGAAGGCGGGAAGAAAAUCAUGGUGUAAAGUAAUGAUUAAGAAAAACCUACUCCGGGAAUACAACAUGAAGGAGAUCUCUUCUGCCACCUCAACUUGAAUAUGAUGUGCAAUAGUUAAGUUAAGUGAUAUCCUGGCAUACAAGGCAGUCAACAGACCAUUGUCUUGUUGUAGAGGUCUGCAUGAGAGGUCAUCCCACCUGUACGCAGCAAUCAUAAUCCCGUGCCAAACUGUUGGGUCAGAUACCAUGGACGUGCCUUCAAACCUCUACCUUGGUAAACCUACCAGAAGUCUCAAAGUUCUUCUAGAACAGGGAUUUUCUACAUUUGAUGUUUACCUCUGCAACAAAGUCAUGAUAAACUAAAGUACAUUUUACUCUGCAUAAGAGUGUCUGGCAAAUACUUCUGUUUAUAUAUACUGUGUAUUACGCCACUGGGUUUGAUUGUUACAUGACUGGUUUUGGAAUCAGCAUUGGGACAGUAUUGUAAUCUUGUGCCAUCCUGAGGAGGAGGGCUUCUCCACCCGAACAUCUCCCAAGGUUUAUUCCUCUGUAACUAAACCUUUUGGGGAGUUUUUUCUUCACACUGUCACCUUUGGCUUCUUCACUGGGGGACACAAAGACCACAGUAUGUAUUUUAAGAAGUGCUGCUUAAAAUGUAUUUAUAAAUAUUCAGUAUUUUAGUUUUUUAUGAUGUUCUAAAUUAUUUUAUAUUAACUUAACGCUUGCACAAUUUUCCCUUAAAAUAAAAUUUCUUG
rnacentral:lncRNA from 1 species